CAGUAGCCGCGGUAAAACGAGGGGGGCAAGCGUUGUUCGGAUUUAUUGGGCGUAAAGGGUGCGUAGGCGGUUUGGCAAGUCUUGUGUGAAAUCUUCGGGCUCAACCCGAAGCCUGCACGAGAAACUACCGGGCUUGAGUAUUGGAGAGGUGAGUGGAAUUUCCGGUGUAGAGGUGAAAUUCGUAGAUAUUCGGAGGAACACCAGUGGCGAAGGCGGCUCACUGGUCCAUUACUGACGCUGAGGUGCGAAAGCGUGGGGAGCAAACAGGAUUAGAUACCCGAGUAGUCCCUGUCUCUUAUAC
rnacentral:rRNA from 1 species